UUUCCGUAGGUGAACCUGCGGAAGGAUCAUUAAUAGUAAGUGUUUUAUGGCACUUUUUUAAAUCCAUAUCCACCUUGUGUGCAAUGUCAGGGUUGAUUUUUCUCUCGAGAGGAUCAACCCCAAACAUCAACUAUAUCUCAACUCUUUGUCUGAAAAAUAUUAUGAAUAAAACAAUUCAAAAUACAACUUUCAACAACGGAUCUCUUGGCUCUC
rnacentral:misc_RNA from 1 species